CGAUCCAAAUGUUUUUUACCAUUCAGUGCUGGAAAAAGAGACUGCAUAGGUCAGACAUUUGCAAUGUUCGAAAUGAAGGGAAUAGUUGCUACAAUAUUAAGAAAAUUUGUUGUACAAAUAGAUAAUCCAGUAAUAGUUAA
rnacentral:lncRNA from 1 species